UUAGUAAUAGUCUCUAUCCGUAAAACCGACGUUGUUCUGUUAUCUCUCCACACCUCUUUCUCUCUUCUUUGGAUCCGACGUCGUUCUCUUCUCUCACUCUUUCCCUCACCUCUUCUUUCAUUCUUCGUUCGUCGGAUAGGUCUCCCUGAUUCAAUCAUUCUCUUCAGCAAAUUCAAUGAAUCGAAUCCAGAGAGAACACCACUUUAUGAAAAAGAUGAGUAACUAUUUGUAACAAUUGAUUUCAUCAUGUUUCGGGACUUUUCCAUGUCUAUAUUCAUGUAUUGCAGAUACAUUUUAAGGUUCUUGCAAGGAAAUAAGGAAUCAAUGAAUACAAAGUCGGAUCGAUUGUCGUUCUUUUAUGAUAUCUAAGGUUUAAUUUUGGUGAUUGAGGAAGAUUUCUAGGCUUUUGUUUUGGUUUCGCUGCUGUAAAAUUGAGAUAGAUUUUUGAUAUAAGCUAUGUGUUCUGAUAUUCGGCGAACGAAGAUUGAGAAGUUGAUGAUGAGUCAACCGAAGCUGCCCUCUAGUGACUCGCCUAAAAACAGACCACAUAUUUUUGUAUCAAGUUUUGGCUGGAUGCAACAAUUUUCAUUGUCUGGUUUUGAGUUUGACAAAACGUACUUCUUGAUCUUAUGAUUGCGGGAAACAAUGUUGGAGUUA